AUUUACUUAGUAUAAUAAGUACAAUUGACUUCCAAUCAAUUAGACUGGUACUUCCAGAGUAAAUA
rnacentral:tRNA from 1 species